GUUCCUCAAGGUUACAAACAGAAAAUUCUCUUGUGCAUGUCGAUCUUCCAAGGGAUAGUAUGUUUGAACUCAAAAUGAGCGCUUCAGGGAUGCUGGACUGACACAUCUGACCCUGCACACAAUUACAGACGUGCUGUAAGUGCCGGCUGCGAAUUUCUGACAGACUUAAUUCUGCUGCAGACAACAUUUGGGCACCUGCUGUUCUCCUGUUUGGUCUGUACCAGCCUGAUUCCAUCUCUACCAGUCUCUUCCUCUUCUUGCCAACCAUGCGGAUCUUUGCAGAGGCUGGGUGAGAAGUGAGGCCGGUGAUGCUUUUGUACACUGGGUACAUCCCCAGGGAUGCAGUUUUCCAAUAUAUUCAUCUGUCACCAGAGCUCCACGUGAAGUCCUCUGCUGUUCCUUCAUCUGACCGGCAGUGCGACAGAAAGGCCUGGAGCUGGUCGGGGCCAACCCCAGGCCUGAGUGCUGGGCGCGUGAGCUAUCCCUGCAAGGCUGGCAGAUUGUCGAUAAAUGCAGUAAACAACAGGCUGCUUUCUUUCAGAACAAGUUAUAUGAAGUCGUCAUCCAUUUGGCGAUACAUAUUUGUAUCUAAGCCCAUCCUUUCAAGCUCCUCUCACUUGACUGAUCAUUUCUUGGUAUCCCAGGAGAA
rnacentral:lncRNA from 1 species